rnacentral:rRNA from 1 species
AGGCUGUCUCCACCCGAGACUCAGUGAAAUUGAACUCGCUGUGAAGAUGCAGUGUACCCGCGGCAAGACGGAAAGACCCCGUGAACCUUUACUAUAGCUUGACACUGAACAUUGAGCCUUGAUGUGUAGGAUAGGUGGGAGGCUUUGAAGUGUGGACGCCAGUCUGCAUGGAGCCGACCUUGAAAUACCACCCUUUAAUGUUUGAUGUUCUAACGUGGACCCGUAAUCCGGGUUGCGGACAGUGUCUGGUGGGUAGUUUGACUGGGGCGGUCUCCUCCUAAAGAGUAACGGAGGAGCACGAAGGUUGGCUAAUCCUGGUCGGACAUCAGGAGGUUAGUGCAAUGGCAUAAGCCAGCUUGACUGCGAGCGUGACGGCGCGAGCAGGUGCGAAAGCAGGUCAUAGUGAUCCGGUGGUUCUGAAUGGAAGGGCCAUCGCUCAACGGAUAAAAGGUACUCCGGGGAUAACAGGCUGAUACCGCCCAAGAGUUCAUAUCGACGGCGGUGUUUGGCA